ACUCCUACGGGAGGCAGCAGUAGGGAAUCUUCCACAAUGGGCGCAAGCCUGAUGGAGCAACACCGCGUGAGUGAAGAAGGGUUUCGGCUCGUAAAGCUCUGUUGUUAAAGAAGAACACGUAUGAGAGUAACUGUUCAUACGUUGACGGUAUUUAACCAGAAAGUCACGGCUAACUACGUGCCAGCAGCCGCGGUAAUACGUAGGUGGCAAGCGUUAUCCGGAUUUAUUGGGGCGUAAAGAGAGUGCAGGCGGUUUUCUAGGUCUGAUGUGAAAGCCUUCGGCUUAACCGGAGAAGUGCAUCGGAAACUGGAUAACUUGAGUGCAGAAGAGGGUAGUGGAACUCCAUGUGUAGCGGUGGAAUGCGUAGAUAUAUGGAAGAACACCAGUGGCGAAGGCGGCUACCUGGUCUGCAACUGACGCUGAGACUCGAAAGCAUGGGUAGCGAACAGGAUUAGAUACCCUGGUAGGAUAGCG
rnacentral:rRNA from 1 species